UACGUAGGGCGCAAGCGUUAUCCGGAAUUAUUGGGCGUAAAGAGCUCGUAGGUGGUUUGUCGCGUUGUUCGUGAAAUCUCACGGCUUAACUGUGAGCGUGCGGGCGAUACGGGCAGACGUUGAGUACUGCAGGGGAGACUGGAAUUCCUGGUGUAGCGGUGGAAUGCGCAGAUAUCAGGAGGAACACCGGUGGCGAAGGCAGAUCUCUGGGCCGCAACUGACGCUGAGGAGCGAAAGCAUGGGGAGCGAACAGG
rnacentral:rRNA from 1 species